rnacentral:misc_RNA from 1 species
GAUGAAGAACGUAGCGAAAUGCGAUAAGUAAUGCGAAUUGCAGAAUUCCAGUGAGUCAUCGAAUCUUUGAACGGACAUUGCACCCUUUGGUAUUCCGAAGGGCAUGCCUGUUCGAGCGUCAUUAUCACCCCUCAAGCCCUCGGCUUGGUGUUGGACGGUUUGGUGGAGGCCCCCUCGGGGGCUCCUGCCCCUCCCAAAGACAAUGACGGCGGCCUCGUUGGACCCCCGGUACACUGAGUUCUUCACGGGACACGUAUCGGACACAUGGGUUUACGGGACACGGUCUGCCUCCCCUCAGGGAGAAUCUUUCUAAGGUUGACCUCGGAUCAGGUAGGGAUACCCGCUGAACUUAAGCAUAUCAAUAAGCGGAGGA